rnacentral:lncRNA from 1 species
GUCAUCUCCUCUCCACAGUCUUCUCCAAGGCCCAGCACAAGGCUUUAUAUAGAAGGGAGGAGGAACUGAUGUCUUGAUUGCACUGACAGUACCCUCUGAGCUGGCCCUUGGAGGUUGGAAAGUUCCACUGGAGAUUCAAUUAUGAAAACUGUUUUGACUAUACCUUGUGACACAUGUGGAUGACCCUCGGCACUGAGGAAAAAAGAAACUACGAAGUUCCUGAUGGACCAUCCGCAUAGUGAACAACAAUUAUUUGGCAUCCCGAAAAGUCCACCAAUCCUGGCCUCACAUCAUGAUACCCAUGGGGAAAAAAAAAACUAUAAAACUUCAAGAAGAAAAAUUUUUAUAGUCUUAGGGUGGGAUGGUUUUCCUAAGCAAGACACAAAACUCAGUAUAUUGGCUUAUAUACAUAUUUUUAAAAUUUUUUUGAAGGAUAUACAAAUCACCAAAGGAGAACAGGAGUCUGAGCAACAGUAGUAGAAGGACAACAUUUUACUGUAACUCAUCUUACACAUUUUGAAUUUUGACUCUUGAACUGUAUCACCUAACUCUUUAAAAGACGUUUCAAAAUAAUGGAGUCAAUAAUAGAUACAACUGUUCUUGGCAUCUAGCUGCUUUGUUGUGAGAAGGCUAAGCUACAUGGAAAGGCCAUGUGGAAGAGAACUACAGAUGCUGGUUGAGACCCCCAGCUAGUCCCAGCCCCCUCCCAGCCACCAGAGGAAGCCUACCCUGGAGCUGCCAGCUAUCCCAGCACCCCAAAAGACACCACAUGGAGCAGAAGAACUGCCUGGUCCUGUUCAUUGGUGUAUCCCUAGCGCCUGGCACACAGAAGUCACUCAAUAAAUAUGUGCUGAAUAAAUGAAAGGGGAAUAGAUGAAGGGCAGCUUUCAUUCACUCAACAAGCAUUUACUAAGUGCCUACAAGAUGUCACACCCUAGACUAUACCUGGAAAUACAUGAAGGAACAGAACACCAAGGCUGCUCUCCAAGAGCUCACAGAGUUUCUCCCUUCUAGCAGUAACUCAAGAAAAAAGUGGAGGUGGGUGUAACCCUGCCCAAGGCAGGAGGUCAACCAAGUACCAGAAGGAAGGGGUGCUCUCAGAGAGGAAUACAGGUUUACCUAGGAUAGGUCUGUUUAACUGGAAACAAGCAGCAGAAGCUUUGAUUCUGUUUAUCAUGCCUGCAUGUGAAGAAUUAAUGUAGCUUUGCACUGAUGAAAAAUAAAAGGUGGACUCUUCUUUAUAAGGGUGGUUUAUUUACCCAAGCAUCAGUCUAACUCUUUCAAGAGAAACACUGGUUAGUUCAUUGCGUUCAUGUUGUCUGCAUACUAUUUUUACCACACUGUAAACUCCUCUGAACCGAAGUCAUUGUUUGUCAUGAUCAUAUAGUUUAUAUCCCACCCCACUGCUGCCUUCCAUAAGCACCGAGCACCUAACAUAGUGCCCAGAGUAAAGGGACACUGCAGAUUGCAAAAGGGGCACAAUUCACUCAUUUGGUAUCACUUCCCUUCUGCAUUCCUCACUAUGUUUUUUAGGUUUGUUAGAGGAGUAUUUGUUGUUUCUUCUAAUUUUCUGAAGCAGAACUGGCACCACCACCACCUCACCCCCCAAAUAAAGCCAGCUGUGGGAUUCUGGAGAAGAAUUACUUGGUUGUAGCUUUGCCAGAGCCUUCCAUAGCUCAGGCCCAUUGAAGGAAAAAAUAGGAAACAGAAUUUCUACUUACAGUAAGAAAAAGUUGGAGCAACUUUUCCCUUGGAGAUUACAUCAAAGAUACUUGAGGUUAUGUUUUCCAUACUAGUUGCCCUAAAAAUGAGGAAACACAAGAACUUUUCCUCAAUGAAGAAUCUAAGCCUGGCUACCUACAGAAGGGCAAUGGUGCUGCCAAACCCCAGCCCGGGAAGCCAUGCAGCCUGAUGCAAUUGCAGCUGGGCAUCCAGGGACAGCUACACUGCCUCCAUGCUCCACCACCUACCCAGAACCCCUGGACCACAGUCUCAUCUUCACUACCAUUUUGAGGGUCAUCUGUGGCAUGUCUUAUAACAAAUUUCUAAGCUAGAUAAAAGUAAGUUAGAAAUUAACCUG